rnacentral:lncRNA from 1 species
AGUUACACAAAGACAAACAUCUUCCCUCUCUGAACAAAAGUUUUAUCAAGAACUCAAAAGUCAUGUAGAUUGUGAUAUUUUGACAAAUAAGCGACCAUCGUGGUUUAAAAACACACAUACAGGAUUUCCAUUAGAGCUUGAUUUAUGGAUACCUAGUAAAGACAUUGCUAUUGAAUAUGAGGGUCCACAUCAUURUGAGUAUCC